GAUGAACGCUGGCGGCGUGCUUAACACAUGCAAGUCGAACGAAACACCUCAUUUGGUUUUCUUCGGAACUGAAGAACUGGUGAGUGAGUCGCGGACGGGUGGGUCACGCGUGGGUAACCUGCCCUGUACAGGGGGAUAACAGUCAGAAAUGACUGCUAAUACCGCAUAAGACUACAGCACCGCAUGGUGCAGGGGUAAAAACGCCGGCGGUACAGGAUGGACCCGCGUCUGAUUAGCGGGGUGCUGAGGUAACGGCACACCAAGGCGACGAUCAGUAGCCGGCUUGUGAGCGUGAACAGCGACAUUGGGACUGAGCCAAGGCCCAAACGCGUAGGAGAGGCGGGAAAUGGGGAUAUAGCAGCAUGGGGGAAACCCUGAUGCGGCGAGGGGGGGAUAAUGACGAUGGGGUUGGGUACGUAAAGCUCUAGCAGCGGAGAAGAUAGUGACGGUACCUGGAUAAGAAGCCCCGGCUAACUACGUG
rnacentral:rRNA from 1 species